AAGUCGUAACAAGGUUUCCGUAGGUGAACCUGCGGAAGGAUCAUUAACACGUAUCCACGUAUCAACCAACUGUGAACUUGUUCUCAACCUCUCCCUGCCUAACUGCAUGAAUUGACAUCUAGAUGAGACUAAUGAAAUGGGAAUUGACGCUUCAUUGCGCGGUUCAAUCUCGUCUAGACAACUUGGUGUGUGCAAACACUCCUAACAAUUGUAGCAGUCUAAUGGUCAGGUCAACCUCUUUCUACUCGAGACUUCACCUUUCAUGCGAGUCUUGUUUGGGAAAAUUUAAUAACCUAUUUCACCCCUUUUUUGCUAGUUGACUUUUAUAUGUUGUUUAGCUUCACGUACUUAAUUGUAUAGAACCACUCACACGUUUAUCUAUUUGAACGUUAAAAUUACAACUCUUAGCAAUGGAUAUCUUGGUUCUC
rnacentral:misc_RNA from 1 species